GACGAACGCUGGCGGCGUGCCUAAUACAUGCAUGUCGAGCGGAUUGAUGGGAGCUUGCUCCCUGAUAUCAGCGGCGGACGGGUGAGUAACACGUGGGCAACCUGCCUAUAAGACUGGGAUAACUUCGGGAAACCGGAGCUAAUACCGGAUAAUCCCUUUCCUCUCAUGAGGAAAGGCUGAAAGAUGGUUUACGCUAUCACUUAUAGAUGGGCCCGCGGCGCAUUAGCUAGUUGGUGAGGUAACGGCUCACCAAGGCAACGAUGCGUAGCCGACCGGAGAGGGUGAUCGGCCACACUGGGACUGAGACACGGCCCAGACGCCUACGGGAGUCAGCAGUAGGGAAUCUUCCGCAAUGGACGAAAGUCUGACGGAGCAACGCCGCGUGAGUGAUGAAGGUUUUCGGAUCGUAAAACUCUGUUGUUAGGGAAGAACAAGUACGAGAGUAACUGCUCGUACCUUGACGGUACCUAACCAGAAAGCCACGGCUAACUACGUGCCAGCCGCCGCCGUAA
rnacentral:rRNA from 1 species